rnacentral:lncRNA from 1 species
UUGUUUCCACCUUUCAGUGAACUUACAUACUUGAUAUUCUGUUUUAUUUGUAGUCUGUGUGGGCUGUGUUUGAAAACUAUAUUUGAUCCAACUGCACCAUAGCAUGCUCUCCAGUGGAGGCUGAUUGGAAGCAGGCAAGACCAGGAUUUUAAUUUAUUUAUUUCUCACAGCAUGUUCGCAGCUAGCAAGCAGCUUGGGGAUGAUUAGUUUAAUAAGCAGAAUAUUUCCAUUUUAAUAUCCUUGAAUAAUGCAGACUAUACACUUAAGAUCAUACACUAUGUGGGGGACUGGGGGAUCCACACAUUUCAGCCACUCCUCUUGAAAACAAAUUUAAUGGUUGUCCUCUAGUCUGCCAGCAUAGCAGGAAAUCUACCUGCAUAUCAAUGAUACCAAAAGCGUCAUUGACUUUUACCCAGCCCAUACAAUUUGUGCCUUUGAAAAUAAAUUAUGCAUCAUUAUACAUCAUUAUGCAUACCUACUAAAUUGUGUUGUAUCAGUUCCUAGUGAUUAAUACUUCCAAACCAACAGACAUUUCCCUUCCAUAAUAAUUAGAUACAGUGUAAGUAUGGGAACGUAAAAGUGGAGGUAGCUGUGAAAGGAAAGGGAAUCACAUGCCCUAUACAGCACAAACACCUUUCCUGGAAUUUUCCCAGGAGAUAAGCCAUCAGGUACACUGUAACUGAUCUGCUGAUUUGAGGAAAUUUAAGGCUGUGUGCACAUUGCCAGCUUAAAACGCAACUAGGUCAUUCUGUUUCUCAGUUUGAAUAUGAAUUGUGGCUGUCGCAUACAAAAAAAAAAAAGGUAAAGGACCCCUGGACGGUUAAGUCCAGUCAAAGGCAACUAUGGGCUUAUGGCGCUCAUCUCACUUUCAGGCCAAGGGAGCCGGUGUUUGUCCACAGACAGCUUUCCGGGUCAUGUAGCCAGCAGGACUAAACCACUUCUGGUGCAAUGGGACACUGUGACGGAAGCCAGGGCACACGGGACAGAGCAAUGGGGACUCACUCCGUUGCAGGAAUUUGAACCGCCGACCUUCAAUUGGCAAGCCCAAGAAACUCAGUGGAAGGGCACUGGGUGCGGAGUAAAUGGGAGUAUGUACAAAGCACAGUUAGUAAAAUAGUAAUGUUCCCCCUCCCUCAGCAGCAAGUUAUUCUAAUAAAUGAUAGCACUGCUGUGACUAAUCCCCAUGAUGGAGACAAUGGAUUGUGUUAGAAUUAGAAUCACAUUAUUUUUGCUAGGCUAGGAACUAAGAGAACUAACCAUACCUGGAGCAGAUCCUGCAUCCUGUCCAUGGAGCCACUUUAGAAAUUACAUGUCAGCAUACCGCAUUAUGCUGCAUUAAUUAUCAGACACUUUAAAGAACAGUUGUGAAUAUAGCAAAAGUGUAUGCUCUGCUCUGUUUUGCAGAAGUAGAGUCACCUGCUACUGAUGCCACUGGAUUAGACUGAGGCAUUCCCCACCGCACAUACACAAUUUACAGCUUCAGAUAAAACACCAUAUGAUAAAGUAAAGCCACAGAGGUUUCUGGUAGAUCAUUUAAUUGCUGUUUGCAUGCUUGAGACCAGGCUGAGACAUAGCUGGUAAGGUAGGGGCCCUAACAAAGCAAAACAAGGGUCCGGUGAGGAGGGGUUGAAUUCCAUAUGCACAUAGCUUCAUACCUGUCAUGUUUUAAGCACCUGGUAGCAAUCCAACAGGAAGGAGCUUGAAAGGAAACAGAAUAGUUGAAUUAUGAACACUACAUCGUUUAUUUGCAGCUAAUGUGUUUAAAAAUUAGCUGUCCUUCACAACAAAACCUGCGGCCCUCUGGAUGUUAUUGGACGCUAACUCUCAUCAGCUCUAGCCAGAAUGGCCAACAGCCAAGGAUGAUGGGAGUUGUAGCCUUACAACAUCUCAAGGACCAUAGGUUCCCCACAGGGUUGGCCCACCCACGAGGCUGCCUUGGGCAGCAGGAUCCAUAAGGGCAGCAGAUCCCAAUGUAGAUCUUUAUUCCCCGUCUUCGCUCACCCAUUCUUCCCUGGUGGGGAGGUGUGUGCCAUUUUGUGAUUUGCUCCAGGGGCCCAAAUGUCUCAGGCUGGGCCUGGUUCCCCACCCCACAUCACCUAAACUAAUGGUGUGUGGUUUCUGUGUCCCUCAUAGAGGUUACCUCCCUGUUUCAAACAGAAUCGUACUCGGGCACUGAAGUGCAAUCAGGGCCGGCCCGUCCAUGAGGUGGACUGAGGCAGCUGCCUCUGGUGGGGAAAUCCAAGGUGCGGCACCCGCUCAGAACCUCAUGAGCUCACUCCCGUUGCCACUGGAGAAGUGAGAAGUGGCAGCAACUCCCUGGUUCUGAUGAGAUCUCACAAGAGCUCCACAAGAUCUCACGGGGCUAUUGCAAGACCAGAAGCCACUGCUGCCGCCGCAACUCCUCACUUCUCCAGUGCCGCCACAAGCAAUACACCACCACUGGGGAUCUUCCUGAAACCAGCACCACUUCUCACUUCUCCAGCACUGCCACGGGCUCCCCCAUCCCAAUAGAAGCGAGGAGAAGCAGCUUUGGCUUCUGGCAAGAUCUCACAGGACUCUUGUGAGAUUUUACUGGAAGCCACCAUGGCCGCCACAGCCUCUUCUCACUUCUCCCAUGGUUGUGGUGGUGGGCACCCUUCUUGCCCUAACACUGCCAGAGAAAUGAGAAGAAGCAGCGGCAGUGGCUUCCACAUCCCAGCGAGAUCUUGUGGACCUCUCAAGAUCCCACCAGAAGCCACCACCACAGUCACACAAUCACUGACAGUGAGGCUUCAAGGGCGGGGUGUGUGUGGAAGCAGCAGGGGAACAACACCUUCCCAUUUUGCCUCUGGCUGCAAAACAGGGUGGGCUGCCCCUGGGUGUAAUAGGCAAAGCGUUGUGUGGCUGUAAGAACUUGGUAGCAAGUCUUCCCUUCAUCUACAAAAUUCCCUGAAUAACCUUAGGGCAAUCUAAUGUCCUUUGCAGGUUGCUGUAAGGAUAACACUAGACAACGUGGUAUAGAUUUCCAUUACUGAACUUAAAUUCAUACUUGGCAGGGAAUCUCCUGUAGAGGCAUUCGACAAACCAUUAUCACUCAACCCACUUUAAUUCACAAGUCUUGUUAUGAGACUAGUAGCUGUUCUGCGUCUUGGAGUUUAUGGCAAUACUAGUAGUAGUUUAGUCUUAACACACUGUUGCAAUUUUAUCUCAGAAACCAUCCUGUGACUUGCAGUAACUUUCUAACAGCUGGAAUAGGUUUUCUCAGCAGCAUAUUGAGGCUUUUGUUUUAUGGAAAGAAUAUUAAUGACAGACAAACUUCCCUGAAAGACACUUUGCUGACCAUGAUCACCAAUCUUCCCAUGUUUCAUGAAAUCAUUGGAUAUGUUUUAGAGCAGUAGUCUUCCACCUUUUCAGACCCAGACUUAGCUUGAACCCAAGCAUGCAUUUGGACCCAUAUCAUAUAUUUGUGGUGCUGCUGCUGCAGCUAUCCCCAUUAGCUAUCAGGCUGUGACCUGGUAGUGGUUUCUGACCCAUCUGUUGAAGACCAGUGUUGAGAUCCCAUGCUCAGUUGAAAUGGGGCAGCUGUGAGCUCAGAGAGGCCUGGCCAGUGACAUAUGGAUGCCACAUAUUUUCUACCUCCAUUGUUGGAACUCCCAGUUCCUGAAAAUCACAUAAGAGGAGAGUGUUUUGUCACUCAGGUUUGAAAACGACUUUUAUCCAGAGAUUUCCCACCCUCUUCUUCAUACAUACAUACAUACAUACACAUAGUUUUAUUUGUAUGCUACCCUUCCAUAGUUCAAACAAAUGUAGUCAUAUACAAUAAAUAAAAUAUUAAAAAACACAACCAAAUUGAACAAUUUCAACAUAUAUCACUAAGAUCUAAAAUAAAGAUACAAAAAAAUAUCAAUAAUGGCAACAACCCCCCCCCCAAAAAAACCCCUAAGCAACACCCCAGUGCAAGAGUAUAUUCAGGUGAUCUGCAAGAAAUGUCAAUGUGACCUCUUGAACAUAUAAUAACCCAAACCAGUAUUAUCCUUGCUCUCAUAAAUGUCAUAAUUACUGUCAACUUGGCAUAGUGCUUUUGUAAAUACAUUUGUCAUAAAGUGUCACCAUUCCAGCUCCUCCUCCCUUUUUUACGCUGUGUGUGUGUCUGAAGAUUAACAUUUGCAAUCGCCAAACCAUUCAGCAAGAUGUGAUUAUAACAAAAACAGGGUCGAACUGUCCUUUACACACUGUCACCUGGGAAUAGUUUGUUUUUCCUCUGAACUUCUGUUAUUGAUUUGUGUGCAGUUUGCUCUUCAGAGGGUCCAUAUGCUCCUGAGGCUGAAAUUCCUGCACGUCUAUGAGUUAGACCCAUUGAACCCACUGGAACAGAUGAAUAAAAACAUGUACAAGCAAGUACAGAGAAUAUUAAGAAGCUGCCUUAUACCGAGUCAGACUAAUGUCCGUUGAGCUCAAUAUUGUCUACACUGACUGGCAGCAGGUCUCCGAGGUUUCCCAGCCCUACCCGGAGAUGCCAGUGUUUGAACCUAGGACCUUCUGCAUUCAAAAGCAGAUGCUCUACCGUAGAUCUGCAGCCCUUGCCCCAAAGCCUCAAGUGCUCUAAAAACACAUUUGCACUCUUCUUUUCCUUAUGUUCUUACAAAGACUCCUGUUUCUUCAACAUUACAGAAAGCAGUUGUUUUGUACAGAGAUGAGAUGCUUGGAAUUGAAGUUCUCAAUUUGAAGUAACUGGAUCCAAUCACUCACAACAACAAAACGUUUUCGUUAUCCCCCACCACCUUUUGUAGUCAUACCAGCAGAGAUAAUUCAGGUGCUGAAUAAGUUCAGAACUCCCUUAUAGGUCUCUGUUACAUAUUUUCCUGCUAUUGUUUGUGUUAAUGGUAGCCUAACUCUAGACAUCUGUCUUUUGUUUCCAGAUGUUUCUUGUUCCAGAUCUAUCAGCUGUGAAUGAGGAGGAAGGAAACAAGUUUUAUUUUAGAUAGCUCAGCUAUAUGGACAACCUGAAGGAAUAUAUUAUUAGCAUGUAAUCUUAAAGUUACAUGAGUUUGGACUAAAUGUUUUUUUGGAGUCCUUCCACCACCAUGCCCAACCCUAACAUUCUGGGGCUAUGGACACAUUACCGUUUAUUCUGCUGUUUGAUGUGUUUCCCCUCAAAGCAAUUUCCACCCACUUUCAAAACAAGCCACAAUUGAGCUGAUGUGUGUGCAUUUGAGACAGCCAUUGUGCAUGCACAGAUAACAGCUUCAUUAAUAGGAGUUUGGGGAGCAAGGUUGCAGAUUUAACGUUAAUGCACAACGGACAAAGACAUCCCCACUCUGCUAUCUGGUGUGUACAGCAAUGUGCAAAUGCGACUUGAUAUACAUUGUAGGCUGCUAAUGUGUACAUGGCCUAUUUGUAAAAAGAGAUGACUAAAGAGCUAAAAGCAGGGGAACAAACCUGAAUAGGAAGGAUGAAAGAAUCCAGUGCUUUUUUUCUGAGGAGGGGACGCAGGGGUAUACAAACCCCUAAACCAGGGGUCAGCAAACAUUUUCAGCAGGGGGCUGGUCCCCUGUCCCUCAGACCUUGUGGAGGGCUGGACUAUAUAUAUUUUUUGGGGUGGGGGUGAAUGAACAAAUUCCUAUGCCUCACAAAUAACCCAGAGAUGCAUUUUAAAUAAAAGCACACAUUCUGCUCAUGUAAAAACACCAGGCAGGCCCCACAAAUAACCCAGAGAUGCAUUUUAAAUAAAAGGACACAUUCUACUCAUGUAAAAAACAUGCUGAUUCCCAGACCGUCCACGGGCCAGAUUUAGAAGGCGAUUGGGCCGGAUCCAGCCCUUGGGCCUUAUUUUGCCUAUCCAUGCCCUAAACAUUUUGUGAAUCUAAGUUUGGCCUCAGUGAGGGACAGUAUUUCAAUAUGAGUAGGAAAAUGAGAGUACCCCUAAACAUUUUUUUUUGGGGGGGGAGCACUGGAAGACUCCAUUUAGUGCAUCCAUUGCACUGAAUAUUAAUAUGAAUUGUAUUUUAUUCCUUCUUUUAUUUAUUACAUUGCAUUUUAUUGUAUUGGAAAUUUAAUUCUAUAAAAUUCCAAUUGCUGUAACGUGUAGAAAAAUAACUGUGGUCUGCAAUAUUCCAGUGGUCCAUGGUCCAGGAGGUGGGGUGAGUAUGGGAACCAAGGAAUCAGCAGCUUUCAUACUGUCAUCAGAGGAACCCUAUGGUUCAAUGAGAACAUCAGUAGAAGUGAGCAAGCCUUCCUACAAGACCUCUUAUCCCACUGUGACCUAAUCAUCCCCUGCAAUGCGCAGCCAGAAGGGUGUGGUGGGCGAACAACUGUGAGGCUCAGAGAACAAAGAGGAUGCUACCUUUCUGUCCCAAGAUAAGCGUGAAAGGAAUGACCGCUUCAAGAAAGCUAGCUCCCCAGGGAAGAUUUCUAGAAUUCCUUGAGGAACUUGGGAGAUUUGAAACACAAAACACUUUACACG